rnacentral:lncRNA from 1 species
CAUUGAUUCUUCUAUUUUGUUUAUUUAGCUAUUGCUUCACCAUUAAAAGUUACAGAGUUCUUACUUUUCUACUUAUGUUAUUGUAUGAUGCUCAAUUUGACACCUUUUAAGUUUUUACUUUUUCUUAUAGGAGAUAAUUGAAGCUAAUAUAGAGGGUAAAUUAAUGAGUAUAUUGAAUAUGGUCAUUUUCUUUGAUUUCUACACUUACACCUAAGAGAGUGAGCAGAUAAUCAGAGUUGUCUAUGGUUAUAACAAGUUAACUGAGUUGGUGAAUUAACGUGGCAUCAAGCUUGCAAUAGGGAUCUAAUACAUGGAGUUUGAAGAAAAGAAAAUGAAGGGGAUUGGUGGUAGUUAAGGCAAUAGGAGGAUUAGAAGAGUAUAAAAAACAAAUACAAGAUUACAUAUGAAAUGUUUCCAAAUCAUUAUAAUUAGCUAAAGAACAAGUCUUAUAUA